rnacentral:rRNA from 1 species
GGAUCCAGACUUUGAUCAUGGCUCAGAUUGAACGCUGGCGGCAGGCCUAACACAUGCAAGUCGAGCGGAAACGGCAACACUGACUCUUCGGAUGAUUUGUUGGACGUCGAGCGGCGGACGGGUGAGUAAUGCUUAGGAAUUUGCCCAGUCGAGGGGGAUAACUAUUGGAAACGAUAGCUAAUACCGCAUACGCCCUACGGGGGAAAAGAGGGGACCUUCGGGCCUUCUGCGAUUGGAUAAGCCUAAGUGAGAUUAGCUAGUUGGUGAGGUAAUGGCUCACCAAGGCGACGAUCUCUAGCUGGUCUGAGAGGAUGAUCAGCCACACUGGAACUGAGACACGGUCCAGACUCCUACGGGAGGCAGCAGUGGGGAAUAUUGCACAAUGGGCGCAAGCCUGAUGCAGCCAUGCCGCGUGUGUGAAGAAGGCCUUCGGGUUGUAAAGCACUUUCAGCAGUGAGGAAGGUGGUAGUGUUAAUAGCACUAUUAUUUGACGUUAGCUGCA